rnacentral:piRNA from 1 species
CACACAAGAAAGUGAAAAGGGCUGGGUGU